rnacentral:rRNA from 1 species
GAUGAACGCUGGCGGCGUGCCUAAUACAUGCAAGUCGAGCGAACAGACGAGGAGCUUGCUCCUCUGACGUUAGCGGCGGACGGGUGAGUAACACGUGGAUAACCUACCUAUAAGACUGGGAUAACGUCGGGAAACCGGAUCUAAUACCGGAUAAUAUAUUGAACCGCAUGGUUCAAUAGUGAAAGACGGUUUUGCUGUCACGUAUAGAUGGAUCCGCGCCGCAUUAGCUAGUUGGUAAGGUAACGGCUUACCAAGGCAACGAUGCGUAGCCGACCUGAGAGGGUGACCGGCCACACUGGAACUGAGACACGGUCCAGACUCCUACGGGAGGCAGCAGUAGGGAAUCUUCCGCAAUGGGCGCAAGCCUGACGGAGCAACGCCGCGUGAGUGAUGAAGGUCUUCGGAUCGUAAACCUCUGUUAUUCGGGAAGAACAAAUGUGUAAGUAACUAUGCACGUCUUGACGGUACCUAAUCAGAAAGCCCCGGCUAACUACGUG